UAGCUGCAGUAUUUUGACUGUGCAAAGGUAGCAUAAUAAUUAGUCUUUUAAUUGGGGACUUGUAUGAAAGAUUUGAUGAGAAAUAAACUUUAUUAUUUAUAUAAUUAAAAUUUUAUUUUUAAGUAAAAAAGCUUAAAUUUUUUAAAGGGACGAUAAGACCCUAUAAAACUUUAUAAAUAUUAAUUUUAAUUUUUUUGGAUUUAUAAAUAUUUUAUUAUUAUUAUUUAUUUUAUUGGGGUGAUAAAAAAAAUUAAUUAACUUUUUUUAAAAUUUUACAUUAUUUAAUGAAUUUUUGAAUUAAAAUUUUUAAUUAAAGGAAAAAGUUACUUUAGGGAUAACAGCGUAAUUAAUUUUUUAAGUUCAAAUUUGAAAAUUAGUUUGCGACCUCGAUGUUGAAUUAAGAUUAAUCUUAGGUGCAAAAUUUUAAGUAUUAGGUCUGUUCGACCUUUAAAUUCUUACGUGA
rnacentral:rRNA from 1 species